rnacentral:rRNA from 1 species
ACGAACGCUGGAGGUAUGCCUCAUACAUGCAAGUCGUACGGGGUUUAUUGGAGCUUGCUUCGAUGAACUUAGCGGCGCACGGGUGAGUAACGCGUGGGUAACCUGCCUUUUAGUCUGGGAUAACUCUGGGAAACCAGGACUAAUACCGGAUGACCACAUCGAUCGUAUGUUUGAUGUGUAAAAGCUGCCCUCUGAUUUAUGGUAGCGUUGAGAGAGGGGCCUGCGUCCUAUUAGUUAGUUGGUGUGGUAACGGCGCACCAAGACAUAGAUGGGUAGCCGGCUUGAGAGAGUGAUCGGCCACACUGGAACUGAGACACGGUCCAGACUCCUACGGGAGGCAGCAGUAGGGAAUAUUCCGCAAUGGGGGCAACCCUGACGGAGCAAUACCUCGUGGGUGAAGAAGGCUUUAGGGUCGUAAAUCCCAGUCAGCAGGGAAGAAGGCUUUAUGUGAAAAUAUUGCAUAGAGAUUGACGGUACCUGCAGAGGAAGCCACGGCUAAUUACGUGCCAGCAGCCGCGGUAAUACGUAAGUGGCGAGCGUUGUCCGGAUUUACUGGGCGUAAAGAACGCGUAGGCGGUUUGUUAAGUUGGAGGUGAAAUCUAUGGGCCCAACCCAUAGCUUGCCUUCAAAACUGAUGAACUAGAGUAUUGGAGGGGAAAGCGGUAUUCCAGGUGUAGCGGUGAAAUGCGUAGAUAUCUGGGAGAACACCAAUGGCGAAAGCAGCUUUCUGGACAAUAACUGACGCUGAGGCGUGAAAGCGUGGGUAGCGAACAGGAUUAGAUACCCUGGUAGUCCACGCCGUAAACGAUGGGUACUAGCCGUGGGCAAAGAGAUUCCUCUGUAACCAAGCUAACGUAUUAAGUACCCCGCCUGGGGAGUACGGUCGCAAGAUUAAAACUCAAAGGAAUUGACGGGGGCCCGCACAAGCGGUGGAGUAUGUGGUUUAAUUCGAUGCAACGCGGAGAACCUUACCUGGUCUUGACAUCCCGAAAAAGCCCUAGAAAUAGGGAAGUGCUCUCUUUGAGAGAAUUUGGUGACAGGUCUGCAUGGCUGUCGUCAGCUCGUGUCGUGAGAUGUUGGGUUGUUAAGUCCCGCAACGAGCGCAACCCUCGCCAUUAGUUGCCAGCAUUAAGUUGGGCACUCUAAUGGGACUGCCGGUGUCAAACCGGAGGAAGGCGGGGAUGACGUCAAGUCCUCAUGGCCUUUAUGACCAGGGCUACACACGUACUACAAUGGCCGGUACAACGGGCAGCCAUUUCGCGAGAAGGAGCAAAUCCCUAAAAGCCGGUUUCAGUCCGGAUUGGAGUCUGCAACUCGACUCCAUGAAGUUGGAAUUGCUAGUAAUCGUGGAUCAGCAUGCCGCGGUGAAUACGUUCCCGGGCCUUGUACACACCGCCC